GUUAGAGUGGCAGAGCCCGGCUAAUGCUAAAGACCUAAACUCUUUCUACAGGGGUUCAAACCCCCUCUCUAUCU
rnacentral:tRNA from 1 species